GUGAAUCAUCGAGUCUUUGAACGCAACUUGCGCUCUCUGGUAUUCCGGAGAGCAUGCCUGUUUGAGUAUCAUGAAAUCUUCAACCAUUAGGGUUUCUUAAUUGGCUUGGAAUUGGGUGUUGCCAGUCGCCUGGCUCGCCUUAAAAGAGUUAGCGUGUUUAACUUGUCUAUCUGGUCAUAAUAAGUUUCGCUGGUGUCGGCUUGAGAAGUACGCUUCUAAUCGUCUUCGGACAAUUCUUGAACUCUGGUCUCAAAUCAGGUAGGGCUUACCCGCUGAGCUUAAGCAUAUCAAUAAGCGGAGG
rnacentral:rRNA from 1 species